GACGAACGCUGGCGGCGUGCUUAACACAUGCAAGUCGAACGGGCCUGCCUGGCUUUGGUUGGGUGGGUGAGUGGCGAACGGGUGAGUAACACGUGAGUAACCUGCCCUCUUCUCUUGGAUAACUGCUUGAAAGGGCGGCUAAUACGGGAUGUUCUGGCUGCCUCGCAUGGGGUGGUUUGGAAAGAUUCGGCCUGGUUUUGGUUGUUUUGGUGGGGGAUGGGCUCGCGGCUUAUCAGCUUGUUGGUGGGGUGAUGGCCUACCAAGGCGGUGACGGGUAGCCGGCCUGAGAGGGUGGACGGUCACACUGGGACUGAGACACGGCCCAGACUCCUGCGGGAGGCAGCAGUGGGGGAUUUUGCACAAUGGGCGCAAGCCUGAUGCAGCGACGCCGCGUGAGGGAUGGAGGCCUUCGGGUUGUGAACCUCUGUCGCCGGUGAUGUAGGCUCUGCUUUGUGGGUGGGGUA
rnacentral:rRNA from 1 species